GGGGUGGGGGUGGGGGUCUGUAUUUGAGAUCUGAGCCUUUGGUACCUAGGAGGAGGGUGCCUUAAAGGAGCUGUAGCUACAGGCUCACUGGAACCGCGAGGAAGUGAGGAGACUCGGCCAAACCCCGCCUGAUGGUGUCUUCCCUCUUGGCUGGACCCGAUGCCCCGAGCAGCCGAUGGGAGACCCCCGCCCGGUUCUCAGACCUGUUUGCAGAUUGCAGCUCACCUGCCCAUCCCGGCUGCCCAGCCCUGCUUGCCUGCGUUCCCGUCCCGGCCCUUGCUCUCGAUCACCUGGCCCACCUGAUUCAACCAAGAUCGCAAUCACCUGAUGACCUGCCUGCCCAACAAACUCUAGCCUUGGAGCAGAUUCACUCAUCGCUCAGGACUCAUUUCUACCAGCUGGUAAAAAAAAAGCUAUGAUUAUAAAAAACUUGUGAAAAAUAUCCAUCAAUUCAUAGGUUUUAAAAAUGCCAUACAACAACUUAUGUGAAAUAUGAUAGUGUGUUUGUUUGCUAUUGUAAUUAAUUGGGAUAUUGAGAAUUUUGGGGAAUAUUGAUAACUACAUAUUUGUACUACUGUUCUUUAAAAGUGAAAAAUGUUAACAUGUUCAAUUCAUUUGCUACAGUGGAUUAUGGCCAGAUAUUAAGAGAAAAUGAAUCUCAUUUUUGGUGAGAAAGCCUUGUGUUCUGUAUUUUCUUAGCUGACACAGAGUAUCAAUGAUUAUAAGCUAUGUUUUUGAAUUUUUUAAAACUCUUUUAUUAUUAUAUUUUUCUCACAUGUGCAAUAUACUUUUUCAGUUUUUUUAUUUUUUUUCCUUUUUUAUAUUUGAAGCACAUGUCACCAGCAUUAAGAUUUUCUUUAACUUUUUGAUUUUGCAGUAAUAUAAGUUUAAGAUACAUUUGUCAAUGCAUGCCCAAAAAGCUAGAUGAUAAAAAUGAUGCCACUAAUUAUUAAAAAAAAAAUUAUGGGACUUUGCUUAAUGAUUCUGUCUGAUUCCAGGACAAGAUAUACACACAAGAGCCAUUGCACAGAGCCAAAGAAAAGCCAAUCCGGGAUGGAUUGAUGCACUUCUAGGCCAAUACAAAGGUCUUGAAUCUAGUGUGAAGACUCGAGGUUACUGUGUUUAACAUAUUGUUAAGACAUAGGCUUUCCUUGUGUCCACACUCGCUCUGAAAAUACUCACAGAUGAGUAUCCCCAAAACCUUGGCUCAUAUAAUCUGGUUCCCUUUUCUGCCUUUCAUAGUGUGGUACCUUUCUGUAGUCCUGGUUACUGACUGGGUAAAUGCAUCAUUGCUUAGAUCAUUUUUAUUGGGCCCUGAUUCAAGGACCUGUUAUAGAUUUAUUUUUCUUUUUACUUGGAAUUUUUACACAUAAGACUUUAAUAGUCUAUGUUUUCAUCCAGAAUUUUUCUUUUUUAUUUGGAUUUUUCUGAUGUCUUUUAAUUUCUCUUGCCAGUUGAUUCAUAUAUCUCAUACCUCAGCCAUACAUCCCUAAGUGAUCCUGUAUUUUUCAAUUACCCUCUUACACGGGGGAAUGUAAAAAAUAUUAUUACUUUAAAUUUCAAAGUUUAAAUUUCCUUUUGAGAAGAAUUUUAGGUAUACCUCUCUGAAUCUAGAAACUGAACUGUUGGAGAAGACACCAUGAAGAAGCCUCCAGACCACAAGCUACAUAAGAAUGGACUUUGGGUGUGGUUGAUUGAACAUUUAUUUGUAUGUAUACUCUCAUGCCAAAGGGGACUUCCCCCUAACUGGCUUUUUGUCAAUGUGUCCAGCAGUUAUUGUUUUUUUUUCCUUAUCCUCAAAUUAUUGUAAUCUUUAAAAUUGAUUAUGUUUUUAUGAUCCUUUGAGGAAGUCCUCCCCAGAGGAUCAAAUGGGGGUAUGUAAAAAUAGACUCAAAUCCAGGACUUCAAUCCCCAGAAAUCCUUGCUCCACUUCCCCAGAAUGCCCUCUAAUAUCACUGAAUUCUCACCUGGGCCAAGAGCGAGAUGGAGUAUUUAAACCUGGUUGUGAAUAGGCUCAGCCUCUUUUGGACUUCCGUUUUGGAGCAGACACGUCUCUUUCAUGAUGUGAGGUUAUCUUGUCCAGGCCUCUCUGGCCUAGGCAUGUGCUUUCUUAUUCUUUAUUUUCUUUAAUCCUUAACCUUUAAUAAACCUCAUAAGAAUAUAAUACUCCUUGUAGAGAGAAACUAAUUUCUACCUGCCUCAGUCUCCCUAAAUUUUUAAUCUUUUCAGAACUUAGCAUUUGUAUGCUUACCUGUAUAUAAAAUCAUUAGGAGAAACAAUUUUGGGAAGGCAACAUUCUUUACAGUAAGUACAGUAAAACAAUGUAGCACUCUGUAGGUUCUGCUUUGCAUGAUCUCUGCAUGAUCCACGCAGAUUUCUUAAGUCAACUACAGCCUCAAAAAUCAUAACUUUACUACGUCUCAUGAAAGUUUAGGCUUUGGUGCUUUACAAGUGCUAAACAUCAAAUGUCAUGCAUGCAUUUUAUUCCCAUCCAUGUGUGAUUCCCACAGAUUAAAGAAUAUUGUCACCAAAAUGUAGGAACUCAUAAGAUUACUUGAUUACAUGGUCAGAGCCUAUUUAUUUCAUUGGUAUUCUUAUGAUGUCAAGAGAACGUGAGGAAAGUCCCCAAUGUGUGGGAUGAAUUCCUUUGAAAAACUCAUAGGGAAAAUGUAUAAAUUACAUAAAAUGAGGUAUUUUAAUCUGGGCCAUUGGAGGAAACACCCAUGUAAAUGAGAUCAUAGGUCCAGAGGAGAAUUAGAAUAUUGAAGUAACAUGCCAAUAACUAUUCUUAUAGGCUAGUUCUGAUGUUCAGCCUCAUUGAAACAAGAUAAAAAAUAUUUUCCUAAAGCAAUGUUAGGAAUCAAAGCCUGAGAGACAACAUAAAUAUAGCUUAUACAAUUAGUAAUAAUAGCAGCUGGUAUUUAUAUAUCACUCUACAGUUUAAGAAUACUUUUACAUCUAUAACUUGCUUUCUUGGGACCUCAGGACCAGGGUUAUUUCCUUUCCCUUAAUGUUCUCUUGUUUGUGAAGAGGUAGGUGGUCUAUCUUCUGCUAUCAGCUCAAGUCUCCCAUAGGCUAUGUUCUCCUAUUUUAGGGGGUCCAGUGACUGGAACCCUGUUUCUCUUUAAGCAUGUGGCACAAGAUUGGCUCUUAUAAAAGGAUACUAAUUUCAGAGAUAUGGUAAGUGCAAAUACAUAAUUUUUUUGCCAAUGUCUCAGGGCCAUAAUUCUCACCUUCACCCCCAUUCCACAACACAAGACGUUGCUGGUUGGAUGGAAGAGUAGGAAUUAAGCUCCCAAUUUAUCCAAUUUCCUACAAUAGUUUUAGUCCCAUCACAUUUAAGCCCAAAGUCCAAAAUGAUGACUUCCCCUGAAUUGGAGUCUCAGAUCCAGUCUUCUCAGGUCAUUGCUUUGAGGCUGGCUGAAAUAUCUGGCCUGAAUUCCUGGACUCCCAGAUCCUUAGGGCUCAUGCCCACCAGCUUAGAUGAUAAGAGGCUCCACUCCUUUCACCUGGAACAAAAAAUAACAAAGACUCAGGACCAUUUCUUGGGGCCACCUGGCCUAACAGAGCAGGGAAAGAUACAGCCAUCAAGGGUCCUCUUACUUACCAGCUGGUCUCACUGUUAAGUAUAUAAAUGAAGGAAUAACUUUCAAACUUAUUCAAGAAUAUAGCAAAGGUUUUAUUCCUGCUAAAUUUUGUAGAUUAUUAUUUAAAGGAUGUUUUAAAUACUUAUGCUUUUAUUUCAUAGCCAACGGAAAAUGGCUUCUCCUAACGAUUUUGUAGACUAAUGGAAAAUGUCUAAGUAUAUUCAUGUCUUUUGGAUUCAGUCCUCUAGCAUCUUCCACAUGGACAAUGCUGUCUUAGGUGUUCUAGAUUUGUACCACACUCUCUACCACAUGUAAAUUACAUAUUUUGAGCCUUGGGACAAUACUGUGCGGUAGGUAAUAGAGUGAUUAUUAUUCUCAUUUUACAUAUAAGGAAACUGAGGCUCAGAGACAUUAAAUUACUUGUCCAUGUGUAACAUCAGAAGUGAAAUUUGAUCCCAGAUUUUUAUGUCUCCAAGUCUGUCACUUUCUUUAAACUAGUCAACUGUUUUUGAUUGAAAGUGUAAUAACUUGCUUGAAUAUUGUUAAGGUAUUGUCAAUUAAACUGAAAAUUGAGAAAUUAAAAUUAAAA